GACGAACGCUGGCGGCGUGCCUAAUACAUGCAAGUAGAACGCACAGUUUAUACCGUAGCUUGCUACACCAUAGACUGUGAGUUGCGAACGGGUGAGUAACGCGUAGGUAACCUGCCUGGUAGCGGGGGAUAACUAUUGGAAACGAUAGCUAAUACCGCAUAAUAUUAAUUAUUGCAUGAUAAUUAAUUGAAAGGUGCAAUUGCACCACUACCAGAUGGACCUGCGUUGUAUUAGCUAGUAGGUGAGGUAACGGCUCACCUAGGCGACGAUACAUAGCCGACCUGAGAGGGUGCUCGGCCACACUGGGACUGAGACACGGCCCAGACUCCUACGGGAGGCAGCAGUAGGGAAUCUUCGGCAAUGGACGAAAGUCUGACCGAGCAACGCCGCGUGAGUGAAGAAGGUUUUCGGAUCGUAAAGCUCUGUUGUAAGAGAAGAACGGGUGCGAGAGUGGAAAGUUCACACUGUGACGGUAUCUUACCAGAAAGGGACGGCUAACUACGUG
rnacentral:rRNA from 1 species